CCUACGGGAGGCAGCAGUGGGGAAUAUUGCUCAAUGGGGGAAACCCUGAAGCAGCCACGCCGCGUGGGUGAUGAAGGACUUCGGGAUGUAAAACCCUUUUAGCAGGGAAGAAAAUGACGGUACCUGACUAACAAGCACCGGCUAACUACGUACCAGCAGCCGCGGUAAUACGCAGGGGGCAAGCGUUAUCCGGAGUUACUGGGCGUAAAGGGAGCGUAGUCGGCAUGCCAAGUCAGAUGGGAAAGGCGAGAGCUUAACCCUGGGACUGCAGUUGAAACUGGGAUGCUGGAGUGGGGGAGAGGUAGGCGGAAUUCGUGGUGUAGGGGUGAAAUGCGUAGAUAUCAGGAGGAACACCGAUUGCGAAGGCGGCUUGCUGG
rnacentral:rRNA from 1 species